GCAGCCAUUGGGACAUGCUCUGGUGGCAUAGUGCAAAGAAUAUCUGCUCCCAGGCAGGGCGCGGUGGCUCACACCUGUAAUCCCAGCACUUUGGGAGGCUGAGGCAGGUUAUUCACCUGAAGUCAGGAGUUCUAGACCAGCCUGACCAACAUGGCAAAACCCUGUCUCUACUAAAAAUGUAAAAAUUAGCCAGGCAUGGUGGCAUGCGCCUGUAAUCCCAGGUACUCAGGAGGCCGAGGCAGGAGAAUCACUUGAACCUAGGAGGCAGAGGUUGCAGUGAGCCAAGAUUGUGCCACUGCACUCCAGCCUGGGCAACAGAGCAAGACUCUGUCUCAAAAAAAGAAGAAAGAAUAUAUGGAAAAUACAGAAGAUUGAUUUGACUUUGUCAUGUCAUUUCUCUUAGUUCCUGCGACCUGAAGUACACAGAAGGAGUACAGUCCCUCAACUGGACUAAAAUCAUGAAGACCAUUGUUGAUGACCCUGAGGGCUUCUUCGAACAAGGUGGCUGGUCUUUCCUGGAGCCUGAGGGUGAGGGGAGUGAUGCUGAAGAAGGGGAUUCAGAGUCUGAAAUUGAAGAUGAGACUUUUAAUCCUUCGGAAGAUGACUAUGAAGAGGAAGAGGAGGACAGUGAUGAAGAUUAUUCAUCAGAAGCAGAAGAGUCAGACUAUU
rnacentral:sRNA from 1 species